rnacentral:rRNA from 1 species
CCUACGGGGGGCAGCAGUGAGGAAUAUUGGUCAAUGGCCGGAAGGCUGAACCAGCCAUGCCGCGUGAAGGUCAGUGCCCUAUGGGCGUUAAACUUCUUUUGUGCGGGAGCAAUAAUGGUCACGUGUGGCCAGACGACAGUACCGUACGAAUAAGCAUCGGCUAACUCCGUGCCAGCAGCCGCGGUAAUACGGGGGAUGCAAGCGUUAUCCGGGUUUAUUGGGUGUAAAGGGUGCGUAGGCUGUGAGGUAAGUCAGCGGUGAAAUGCCCCCGGUCAACGGGGUGCGGUGCCAUUGAUACUGCCUUGCUGGAGUGCGGAUGACGUAGGAGGAAUGUGUGGUGUAGCGGUGAAAUGCAUAGAUAUCACACAGAACACCGAUUGCGAAGGCAUCACACGAAUCCCCGAUUGACGCUGAUGCACGAAAGCGUGGGUAUCGAACAGGAUUAGAUACCCCAGUAGUC